rnacentral:rRNA from 1 species
ACGGUAACAGGGGAGCUUGCUCCCGCUGACGAGUGGCGAACGGGUGAGUAAUGCAUCGGAACGUGCCGAAUAGUGGGGGAUAACGCACCGAAAGGUGUGCUAAUACCGCAUACGCCCUGAGGGGGAAAGUGGGGGACCGCAAGGCCUCACGCUAAUCGAGCGGCCGAUGUCGGAUUAGCUAGUUGGUGGGGUAAAGGCUCACCAAGGCGACGAUCCGUAGCGGGUCUGAGAGGAUGAUCCGCCACACUGGGACUGAGACACGGCCCAGACUCCUACGGGAGGCAGCAGUGGGGAAUUUUGGACAAUGGGGGAAACCCUGAUCCAGCCAUGCCGCGUGUCUGAAGAAGGCCUUCGGGUUGUAAAGGACUUUUGUCCGGGAGGAAACCCUGAUCGUUAAUAGCGGUCGGGACUGACAGUACCGGAAGAAUAAGCACCGGCUAACUACGUGCCAGCAGCCGCGGUAAUACGUAGGGUGCAAGCGUUAAUCGGAAUUACUGGGCGUAAAGCGUGCGCAGGCGGUGAGAUAAGUCAGCUGUGAAAGCCCCGGGCUCAACCUGGGAACUGCGGCC